AGUGCUUCAAUUGCUCGGGAAGACUGAGACCUGCAAUAGAAAAUAAUUAUUAUUCUGAACUAUUAGCUGAACGAGUUUAUGCCAGCAAACAAGGCCGAGGAAGUGUGCAGGAAAAGGAUUCAUUCUAAGGAAACUGUUGUUGUGUGAAAGGGGAGUGUAGAACCAAAUGUUUUUUAGCUGCUACCAAAAAGGACUGCUUAAAAAACUGGUUUCUAUCCGAACACU